GAGCUCAUACUCGCCCUGGAAUGACCAUUUUGAGUGGGUCGUUCUGUGUCUAUACUGAGGAUCUGCUGAAAUUGGUGUAUACUGAAGACUGGUUGUGGUAGAGAUAAGAUAUUAAAAAAGGAGGGAAAUUACUCCUUUUUUGGGGGAGGAGUAAAAAGAGAAAAAAUAUAUUUGAAAGUACUUUAGGUCAUAUACUGAACUUGAAAAUGUGAAGGUGUUCAGUCCUUUAUCGUAAAUAAACAGAUUCGAAAAGAAAUCGACUUCUUCCCCCACCUCAACCACCCUUAAUCUCAUUCUUGCAGAACACAAAAAAGAAAAAGAAAGAAAGAAAAAAGAAAAAAAAUCCCACUAAACAAAAACAAAGCAAAACAGAACCUAAAGUGGAGCGAUUUCAACUUUCGUCUUAAAGUGUCCUGAAGGUCGGAGUUUCAAAGUGGAGGGAUGACUUAGCCAGACACGAUGAAAACAACCGCAGUCUUUUUUUUGGUGUCUCUCCUUGGAAGCUUGCUGUGUCCUCCUCCAGCUUCAAGUCUUCAGUUUACAAAGACAUUGGCUUCAUGGUUUUCCAGUCUGGACCUUCGCCUUUCUACUGACGAAGGAGGAGGG